rnacentral:rRNA from 1 species
UACGUAGGGGCCUAGCGUUGUCCGGAUUUAUUGGGCGUAAAGAGCUCGUAGGCGGUUUGGUGAGUCGGGUGUGAAAUCUCCACGCUCAACGUGGAGGAGCCACCCGAUACUGCCAUGACUAGAGUCCGGUAGGGGAGUGUGGAAUUCCCGGUGUAGCAGUGAAAUGCGUAGAGAUCGGGAGGAACACCAGUGGCGAAGGCGGCUACCUGGACCAGCACUGACACUGAAGCACGAAAGCGUGGGGAGCAAACAGG